rnacentral:rRNA from 1 species
GACGAACGCUGGCGGCGUGCCUAAUACAUGCAAGUCGAGCGAGCUUGCCUAGAUGAAUUUGGUGCUUGCACCAGAUGAAACUAGAUACAAGCGAGCGGCGGACGGGUGAGUAACACGUGGGUAACCUGCCCAAGAGACUGGGAUAACACCUGGAAACAGAUGCUAAUACCGGAUAACAACACUAGACGCAUGUCUAGAGUUUAAAAGAUGGUUCUGCUAUCACUCUUGGAUGGACCUGCGGUGCAUUAGCUAGUUGGUAAGGCAACGGCCUACCAAGGCAAUGAUGCAUAGCCGAGUUGAGAGGCUGAUCGGCCACAUUGGGACUGAGACACGGCCCAAACUCCUACGGGAGGCAGCAGUAGGGAAUCUUCCACAAUGGACGCAAGUCUGAUGGAGCAACGCCGCGUGAGUGAAGAAGGGUUUCGGCUCGUAAAGCCCUGUUGGUAGUGAAGAAAGAUAGAGGUAGUAACUGGCCUUUAUUUGACGGUAAUUACUUAGAAAGUCACGGCUAACUACGUG